UCUACAACCUGUCGAACGGACAGACAUUUUACUCAUUACAUUACUCAUGGUCAAACUUCACGUAUGUACACGUCACAGUUUUAUAGGGAAGACCCUCCACCUCCCAAAGGUAUCGACAUGUAUGUGGGAAAAUUACCACGUGAUCUUUUCGAAGAUGAAUUGAAUCGAAUCUUCUCUACAAUCGGAACUUCAAGGUGAAACGGAAAGGUUAUCCUAAUGCGUAACCAAAGUCAUCGUUUUCAGUUACAUCAGAGAUAAAACUGAAAAUCGCGGUUUUGCAUUUGUCGAGUACGUUAAUCAUCGUGCAGCUUCCAAGAUUCGUAGAAAGUUGAUACCUAACCGCAUUUUAUUGUGGGGAACAGAGAUAGCUGUCGACUGGAUCGAGUAGGGAAAUGAAAUCGAUGAAGACGUCAUGUCGCAGGUUACGUUCUUGUACGUCUGCAACUUGUCGCUGACAACUACAGAACAAGUUCUUCGUGAAAAUUUAACUACACCUUUAAUGACAGUAUGUAGAAGCUUCAAAUGAUGCGUGAUUUUGCAUUUAUCCAUUUUCUAUCUCGAGAAAAGGCUUAUAAAGCCAUGCGCAUCAUAACUAAAAAUUUUGUUUCGUUCAAGAUUCGCCAUCUUUUAUGCCGAACUAUUACAAUAGUAGUCAACAUUCGAGUACAACGACGCGUGCACGAUUGUCCCACGUCUUCCGACAGGUAGUUGAUCUGGCUUGGCUUAACCUGUUUAUCUUUUAUAUUGCUUUUUUGGCUUUUAUAUGUAUUUAGCGCAUAUUUGUUAGUAGAGGUGUGAGUAAAGAGAGUUAGUAAUUUUGUUAACAUAUUAAGCCAGAUAUGGGGGCACAUCAGGUAUAAACUUUCUUCGAUUGUCGAUCAUAUUAGCCUACAUAGCGUAAUAGGAUAAUAGAAUCCUACACUCCCAUGAUUUUUUUUAUGCGGUUCGAUAAGUAGCUCAUCGAACGGCAGGUUCAAAAUUUUUUGGUUGUAUUGAACGAGUAAAAUGUAUUGACUUCUGGAGAACAAUGGACGGGGCUUUCCAUUUUCCGUCUAAUUGGAGCCGCCCAUCUCGACUCACGCGCCAUGAGUGGGAUUCAACAAGUCCGCUACGAAUUUCCAAGGGUUUCGCUCUUUUGGACCGCGGCAAGCGGUGCUCUUCGAUCGGUAAUAAUUUACUUUUAGUUGAUUUUAGGAAAAAGACGAAAGCUUUUGACGAGGCUAAAUAAAAAUUUUUAUGGGUCCUGCGAAGCCUCUCGACAUUUCACGCUCCACUACGCCGUCGGUGACUGACUCAGUACCCAGGAGAUCGGGUGUCGGCCAUCGUGUUUUCACUGACGCCGACGAAAGGGAAGUAACGGAAGUUUGACGCUUUUUGUUGAUACGACGUCUACGUUUAUGAAAACAUGUCUGGACUACUACGGACACCAAUUCGAAUUAAUUAAGCAACCUGUGCCUGGAAUCUUGAUUGGGAUUUGGCCAUCAAUCAACUUUCGCAAUAUUUCGGCAUCGACCUUAUUCUCAAGUAUGCGGCGGGCCGGCGGCCACUUUUUCUUUUGGCGCUUCUUUUCUUUCUUUUCAUAGAUGGAUGGCAUUGCACUACAAGCAUUGUUUUGUCUGUUGUUGCUUGACAUGCACGUUGACCGCGACCCGCAAUAGCCGGUCACGCCUGUCAAAUACGCCCGCCUGCAUGUAAUCCGAGAUCCCCAAACAACUUUCUAUCGAAAAGUACGACAACAAAACUUUCGGAGCACGAGAACAAAGGCUAUGUUCACCAGCAGUCCGACCAUGAUUUUUGUCGAAGACUAUCUGUGCAAUUUUAUCUAGAACACCUGGAGUUUCCAGAGCAAGGAUCAUAACAAACUCAUCAUGUUUUUUUUGUUUUUUUUUUCUUUCAAUCUGGCAAUUUGAUUUGACACUCUUACUUCCGGUGGAGUUCCGGUGCAAAAUUAAACGUGAUUAUAGAUUGGAAAUUUGUAACACUAGAUGGCGAAUGGUAUAUUGUUGUCGUUUUAAUGGUAUAGAUUGGAAAUUUGUAACACUAGAUGGCGAAUGGUAUAUUGUUGUCGUUUUAAUGGCGCUCAUGGCGAACAACAAAUGUCGAAAGUUAUGUUUACUUUUUGUUAAGUUCUUAGUUUAUACGGACCAAAUUUAAAAUUAUGUGUAAGUAAAUCUGUAACUGUUUUUAGUCUAACCGGCAAAGUUUAUGGCUUACAUUUAUCUCUUAGUCUACUUUUCCUAUUUCUAGUCUACCUUUUUCCUGUUGUCCCAUCAAGGUAAAUUAUCAACUAAAAAAUCGUCGACAUUCAGCUUCAUGCCGAUGACGGAUAGAGCAAAGAAAUGGACAGCUUUAUGACUUGGUGCAGACAUCUCACAUAGGACCAACUUUCUGACAUAAUGACUCUCCUGUCAUUUGGGGAUCCAGCCAAGAACACCAUAACUCUUCAGCCAAAUAUUCCGAGUACAUCAAAUGAGAUCCCUGUCGACUCACCAUUUCAUAUCGGACGCCACUCCGCUCCCGUCAAUCUGGAAACAACAUUCUGACGAGGUAAAACUGUUAUUUCUCUUAUUGAUUUAUAUGAAACUGUCACGUAUUUAUUUGGUACAUCGGGUCUCAUAUCCGACCUCAGCGUCAGACAAUGGAGAUACCGGUACAGUUUAUCUGGCUUGCCCUGAAUAGUUUAUCUCAAGUUUCAUUUUGGGUUUUAAAUGCCACAGAGAAUUAGCUAAUGUUAGUAAAUGUAGAGUUAGAUUUGUUUUAGUAGCUGUGUAUGUUAUUUUAUACAGACAGACAUGGGAAACGGUGGGAGUGAUAGGACGUAGAUUGUGGAGGGAGUAGAAAUCGAACACGCGGAACAUUCCGUAUCAACAACAUAACCAUCAUGCUCGCACAUCUAGUCUUGUCCAUCUCCGGUUAAGUUAAUCAUAGCCUUAAAAGGAAAGUAGCUGAGAGUGAUCUGGAAUGUUUACUUAAAACAUAGGAAUAGUUUGUGGUUACAGCUUCCAAUUCCCAAACAUUCACCUUUGGAAAAAUGGUUCGAAGAACUCUUAACAAUUUACAAGGAUUCGGUCGUAUGAUGUCGGUCGUUUUGACGUCGUCUACUGCGAGGAGAGGCUGCUCGAUGUUAUCCACUUAGUGAGCCGAAACGGCAGAUCCAUCGUUUUCACUGCCGUUUUGACUCUCAUCCCAGUCUACAUGUUUUCCAUAAUCGGGUAUCACGUUCAGUUUCACGCCAAAUUGUUAUUAUAUCUUCAACAUGGUGGCUUACAUUAAUUACAAUUUUCCUACUCUUCGUUUCGUUAGUAUGUGUGCAAUUGGUGGAUUUUCCAUUCCUUGUGCUUUCAACUCUCGACAAAGCAUCCACCGAUAACAACGCUAGGUCAGACCAUUUCUAUAGAAACUUGUGCUGGACUCGGCAAGUUUAGUUCACCAGUCUUCUGUCUUCUUUGGGCCCAGGUGUGGCAGCAGAGAGUUGAAGACAAAAAAUGAUUGUCAUUUUCUUCAAAGCGCAGUUGCUUUGUGAAAAGUUACUGCACUCUGUUUGUUUGUUGGUUAUGACUUAUGAUAACUUUUUUAUAGUUAUAGUUAAUUCUUGAUUCUUAAUCAUAGGUUAAUCUUGUCUUGUCUUUUAGAACACAGCACAUGGUCACAUGUAGCUAUUAAUCAAAGGCACUUGCUACCAGAAUUCUCCAUGAACGGUAAUUCUUUAAUAACAUUGGUCUUCAAUCUUCAGUAAGGGGUUAUUAGUUUUACAGUAAUUAAGGUUUCUUAAAUUAGUCAAUCUCUAAAACAGAUUCCAUUAAUUGUUUGGAAUGUUAAAUUACUUUACUGUUAUUGAUCCAGUAGGCUAAAUCCAGUAAAAUUAUAAUUUCACACAAGUUUUACAAAAUGUUCUAAAGGAUUUGUCAUUCAGGUUAAGUUGAACCUGUUUGCUGUUGCCGUCUUAUGCAGAACAUUUUUAUUUGCCACCUUGCUGCUUGCAAACUGCAUAAAUUGGGAAGCUGCAUAUUUUGCACAUUUACAACAACUUGUUUAUUGUCUUUGCUUUAUAUCUGAUUUGUAUAAUAGGCUUUCCCACUGUUUGUUUGAGCCUUUGAGGUAUGAAUGAAAUUUCCUGUGGUGUUGCAGUGCAAUGUGCUGAUGCCUGCCUGUUCCCAGGUUUAAGGAGAACUUAAACAAAAUC